rnacentral:rRNA from 1 species
UACGUAGGGUGUAAGCGUUAAUCGGAAUUACUGGGCGUAAAGCGUGCGCAGGCGGCUUUGCAAGACAGAUGUGAAAUCCCCGGGCUUAACCUGGGAACUGCAUUUGUGACUGCAUGGCUGGAGUGCGGCAGAGGGGGAUGGAAUUCCGCGUGUAGCAGUGAAAUGCGUAGAUAUGCGGAGGAACACCGAUGGCGAAGGCAAUCCCCUGGGCCUGCACUGACGCUCAUGCACGAAAGCGUGGGGAGCAAACAGG